UGUACGGGUUGUGAUGCCAAUUGCAUUGCCCGGUAGCUACGUGCGGGAUAGAUAAGUGCUGAAAGCAUCUAAGCACGAAACUAGCCUUAAGAUGAGUUUUCCCAGAUGAGAAUCUGUAAGGUCCGUUUGAGACUAAGACGUAGAUAGGUCAGGUGUGUAAGUGUAGUGAUACAUUGAGCUAACUGAUACUAAUGAACCGAGAGUCUUAACCUUACAAC
rnacentral:rRNA from 1 species